rnacentral:rRNA from 1 species
AGCGAACGCUGGCGGCAGGCUUAACACAUGCAAGUCGAGCGCCUGUAGCAAUACAGGAGCGGCAGACGGGAGAGUAACACGUGGGAACGUGCCCUUUGGUUCGGAACAACACAGGGAAACCUGUGCUAAUACCGGAUAAGCCCUUACGGGGAAAGAUUUAUCGCCAAAGGAUCGGCCCGCGUCUGAUUAGCUAGUUGGUGGGGUAAUGGCCCACCAAGGCGACGAUCAGUAGCUGGUCUGAGAGGAUGAUCAGCCUCAUUGGGACUGAGACACGGCCCAAACUCCUACGGGAGGCAGCAGUAGGGAAUAUUGGACAAUGGGGGCAACCCUGAUCCAGCCAUGCCGCGUGAGUGAUGAAGGCCUUAGGGUUGUAAAGCUCUUUCGGCGGGGAAGAUAAUGACGGUACCCGCAUAAGAAGCCCCGGCUAACUUCGUGCCAGCCGCCGCCGUAACAC